rnacentral:sRNA from 1 species
GCUGCAACGGCUUCCUGAAGCAGUAUCAUAUUCAUCGGAGCA